AUUUUUGUUAAGGAAAGCAUCCCCUCUGGUAACAGUGGUGUCUCCGGUUAGCAUCUUGAAUGUGGAUGAUUUCCCAGCACCAUUAACUCCUAGAAGUCCAAAGCACUGAAAGAAUAAGACCAGGUUGUUAAGAUGAAGAAGCUGAUGAGCAAAAUUGCAAAUUAUAUACAAUGGCAGCCUAUUGUUGCACUAAAAUACAGGAGUUGGGGGCAGAAGUGAGAAAAGCAUUUAGUGAGGAGACUGAGGCCUGGAGAAGUCAUUUGCUGGCAGACAUACAACUGGUAAGAAAUAGAACUGGGAUGGAAAUACAGAUAAUCUAGCGCCAAUAUCUAUAUCUUGACUGCAGCAGCAUUCUGCUUUCACUGGUCAGAGAGUGUGCAGCCCACCCAUGAAGCCAGAAACCAGCAUAUUUCACCUGAGCGAAGAAUCCUUUUCUACUCCGUCUGGCGAUCAGCAGCCUCUUCCACAAAAGAGCCACAAACUGUUGCUGUGUGAGUUUCCAGCCCUUCACCUGAUAGGAGCCUUUACCAUCCAUCCCGCUGAGCAGGUCUGUCUCCCUGGAUUCUGCAAGAAGCCAACACUGAAGGUCACCUAUUAUGUUAGGUGUUUUUGACCUGAUGUAUUCCUUCUUCUAAGAUCUUCAGAAACCAUUUGGAGGCUUGUGUUUGAAACUGAAAGUAUCUCACAGAGGUAAAGGGUUUUCAUGACACCUCUAUAUUCAAGAAAAACUAAUGACUCAACAUGUCCAAUAGGAGCAAUUUCUGUCUUUCAGUCCUCGUCUGGUGAGUACAGAGAAUGAAGGUGCCUUGAGACUACUGCAGAGAUGUUCACACAUUCCUACCUGGGUGUUAUCAUCAUUGAUGAUAUGAUGUUACCCAUCAUUCAGAUGAGUGGAGACACUGCUGAUUUCUUACAGAUUAUUCUAUGGAACAGGCCAUGUAUGCAGAUGAACACACUUGAGAACACACAAUGGCAGUCUCUAAUCUUUUAUAUUUUUGGUAAAAAAUGGACACAUUUGAAAUGAUCUAAGUACUAACAAUGCAUGAAGUCAGGGAGAACACAAGAGCCACAUGCUCAUGUGACCAUGGACUGGGACAGUGAGAAAAUUCUCUGUUCAUAAAAAUCAUGUAGAAAUUCUUGUCUGAAAUUAAUGAUUCCUAACAGAGACACUCUGACAUCAAAUUUUUUUGAUUUCUUACCUCUCCUUUUCAUUUCAAACACACAAGGACACAGUCAUCCAAAAUACCUACAUCUAAGGGCACAUUAACUGAAAGCAAAUUACCCUCCCUGACUUUCUCAAAAUCAUUCAUCCAUUCAAUAAAUACUUAUUCAACAACUAAAACACUUAAUGUAUGCAAGAAACUUGAACCCUACAGAAAAGACAAUAAAAGAGCAGUCCUUUUUUAAUAUGUGCAUCUUAAGAUCUCAGCUAACUGAAGGAACAAUGAGGAUGGGCUCUUUCAUGUUUGACCUAAACACAUGCACAAAGCUGGAAAAAGACAAGCGGCUUUUCUCAUUUUUCCACUUCCUUCUGGACCCUCCAGGGAAUCUAUCAUCUUGUUCAUCAAAAAAAAAAAAAAAAACAGCUGAGAAGAA